CGGCGAACGGGUGAGUAACACGUGGGUAACCCACCCUUGGUACCGGGAUAGCCCGAGGAAACUCGGAUUAAUACCGGAUGGCCCAACAGCUUCUCGAAGCGGUUGGAAAAGGUAGCUUCGGCCUCCGACCAAGGACGGGCCCGCGGCGGAUUAGCUUGUUGGUGAGGUAAUGGCUCACCAAGGCUUCGAUCCGUAGCUGGUCUGAGAGGACGAUCAGCCACACUGGGACUGAGACACGGCCCAG
rnacentral:rRNA from 1 species